rnacentral:lncRNA from 1 species
UUCUCUCAAACUCUCUUGAAGCUUCUCAAACACUAGACGUCGACCACCACUCCCACCCUAAAAUCACUAGAAUCUAAGGCUUCCAAGGCCAUCGGAGUCCUACAGUGGCCUCGAAUGGCUCCCACACGCCUUAUUUCUGAAGAUUCAAGGUCUGGCCCUAAAGAAGCCUGGUCUAGGAUUUGUUUGAUUCAAGAUAUAUGGUCAUCUAUGGCCUGCUCCGGCGAGCCAUGCCUCCUUCGAGCUUGGGUUUGACUUCUCCUGCUUAGAUCAGUGAAUUUUCCAAGCCUUUCUCACUACCCUUCGAGGUUUUUCUGAUCUUAUUAGAUCUGUUCCAGAUCCAUACAUUCCUUAAGUUAUUAAACGAUUUUCCUGACAUUUCUUUCAAAAAAUUACUUUCAACAUCAUCUCUUUUCCAGCCUAGGUUUUUUCUGAAAGUAUGUAAAUGUUUCUCUGAUUUUCUUUUUCUUUUAUGUGUAUUUGCCUCUACUGUGUUCUUGUAUUUUCUUCUACUGUAUUUUUUCUACUGUGUUCUUGUAUUUUCAUCUACUACAUUCUUGUAUACUUCUUCUACUGUAUUUUCCCUUACUGUGUUCUUGAGUGUUUCUUAUUAAGUCUCAUCUACUGAGUUCUGGUUAAAAUUCUUCUAAAACCUCUUAAAUAUGCUUCUCCUACUGUACUUAUCAAUUUUUUCAAUUAUGUUUCGUAUUCGUUUCUUCUACUCUGUUUUCUUUGAGCUCUUCUACUGUGUUUUGCACGUUACUCUGCUAUUAUGUUUCUCAUGAGUUUUUGUUGCUGAGAGGAACAUGGUAUAAGUUUCAGUUCUUUCUGAGACCUCUGAACCUAUUUCGAGUCUCUGAAAUGAGUUUCAAAACACUUGUUUUUCAAAUGAUUCCGACUUUUGCAAAACUCUUCUAAGAUCUUUAACAUUGGAUCUUUUGUAUGCUACGAGAUGCUACUUUUCUUCUACAUUACUGAUCUAUGGGUAAGCCAUUAUGUAUUGAUUUUGAAAUGGCACAAUAGUCCUCUUUCAUCUUAACAUCUUUGUAUGCCUUUUAUAUAUGAUGAACUCUCCUCUAAAGUGGCUUUUAAAUUUGUGAUUAUUUCGGACUUCCUUCUGAAUAGGUCAUAUUAAUUUCUUUCCAUUGUUUGACAAUUUCCCUGUGAUUUCUUUCUCAGCUUUGCUGACUUGGUUCAUUCAUGAGCCAAUAAUUACAGGAUCUCUGAACUGUGAUUUAUCGGCUGCUAAUUGAUUUUUUUACCUUAUUUGUACAACCGCGUAUUUCAAAAAUUCUUUCCUUAAGUAAACUUCUAUGUAUUUACCCCUAAUUGCAUACUUUGCACAAAGUACUUAUUUAAUUUAUUUCCUCAAAUAGGUUUUACUCGUUUGAAUCUGAAUUCCUUAAUUAAAGGAAGUCUUGUGUGAUUGAUUCUUAAUUGAUAUUCAGUUCCUUAACUGUUUCCUUGCCUUAUUUUCUGCCUUAUUUUCACACUAUAAAGGCACGACUCUUUUCACAAACUCAUCACAUAUUUUUUCACAAUCCUUCUGAACUCAUACUUAUACACAAUAUUAUUCUCUCUCUUUGUCUACACGAUGGCCUGUUUACAAGACCUACUGCUUUUUCUCUAUUUAUUUCUUUGAAACCGGUAUGUCCUAAUUUAAGCUUCAGCAUCACCACAAUAUGUUUAUUUACAACUUGUGUAUCCAUGUAUACUUACUUCUUCUGUAGAGUUAAAUAUUUAAGCUAGCAUGCCGAUUUCUUUCUGCUUGUUUCUGCUAUGAAUCCAUACUCCCUACCCCCUUAUGUGUUUGAGCUAUCGUUUAAGACAUGGCAAUAUGUAAGUUAUUGUCCAUGAACUAAACUUGAUUCCUUUGAGAUCUUAGCCUCUAAACAGUGUGUUCUAACAAGCUAAUGGGCAUGCUAGAACUACCUAUUGCUGGGUAUGCCCACAGCCUACUCUUGCCUCUUUCUUUCCCAUUCCCCUAUACCCCUAUACUAAUUUUUCCCUUUCCCUUUCCCCUGUUUAGAACUAUAUUUAUGCACUGACACUCUCUCUUAGUCUUAAAGUUCUGCCCCCUCUUGUGAGCCUUGCCUUGGCACCUUGACUUCCCUCUGAACUUGGACACUUGAGGGUUAGCCCUUCUACGCUACACUGGUCUUAAUCUGAUAAUGCUUUUGGGCUUAAGCAUUGCCCGGGGUGCUUUUCAAUGCUCUUAGGGAACUUUGACACAUCCAAAUGGGAGAAAGGCUUUGGAACAUGAUAUCUUGGAGUUAGUUUACUUCAUAUUUCAGAUAGGAAGUCUGAAUCGGGCUCUCCUUGGUUGUACUUUAUACUUUUUGGUGUAUUUUUCUAUUUUUAUUCUGAGUUGUAAUAAUUUUGUAAUAAUACUGUUGGGGAUGGCUAGUGAAAAGGGAGGGAUAACUCUGUAUGCAAG